AUUAUGCUUUUUUUUUUUUGCAAAAGUAAAGCUUCAUAAUUUGGACCAGCCAAGCAUCAUACGAAUUUCAGCAGCUUCUAUCAAGCUUCUGAGUGAAACUUAUGCUGUUAAUUCUUCAUGAUGAGUUCCUUGGGCGUUUGAAACCUAGUUUUUUUCAUUAUCCUUCCACCACAACUAAAAUUUUUGCAGAGCAAAAGCAGUGCAAUGAAAGACAAGUGGAUUUCAGAAGGAAGUCCAAUACAGCUAAAAAAAUUCAUUCUGAACUCAGAUUUCAGAACUUGGAAUGCGGGGUAGGUUGUAGCAAUACAUGUUUUCCUUUACUUUUCCCUCAGACAGCUGAAAAGAGAGCAAUCUGAAGCUUCAAUUAUGUAUGUUGAUGCAUUUCCUUUGUAUCAUUUUCUGAUCCACAGAUAAAAGGUAAGAUACAAAAUAUAGACCAAGAAGCAAAUAAAAAUGUUUUAUAUGCUCAAAGAAAUGUAUUUAUAUGAAAUACAUAGUAGUUAUGAUAAUACAAAAUAUUUGUGCAUAUGUUAUCAAUACUGUAACAUUUUCAUUGAAUCACAAAUCAUAGAAUCACAAGGUUGGAAAGGACCUACAAGAUCAUCUAGCCCAACCAUCCUCCUAGCACCAUUACUAUCCGCUAAGCUCCUAAACCACAUAUCAUAGCUCCUCAUCCAGAAGCCUUUUGAAUACUGCCAGGGACAUUGACUCCAUCACCUCCCUGAGCAGGCCGUUCCAGUGCCUGACCAUUCUUUGAGAAAAGAAGCUUUUCCUUAUGUCUAAUCUAAAUCUCCCCUGGCGCAACUUGUGGCCAUUUUCUCAGGUCCUAUUUGUUGCGUGGGAGAAGAAGCCAAAACCCUCUUAAUCACAACUUCCCUUCAGGAAGUUACAGAGUGCCACAAGAUCUCCCCUGAACUUCCUCUUCCCAAAAAAUAGUUAGAAACCCUUCUGUUAAAAACUGCUCCAUUAAUUCUACUGCAUAGACGCAGAUAGUCUUUUAUUUCUUACUAAUGUGAUGAUGUGUUCAAAUAUAUCAUUCUGGACUAAAUGUACAAAUUCCUCUUUAUAAAUUAGUAUUUUUAACUUUGGUGAUAAUCUACAUAAGUGUAUUUUAAACUUCCUAGAAUGCUAGACAAUGCACUUGUAUGGGAACUGCUGAAUCACGGCCUGAACCUCUGACUGACCACCUGAGGCAAGCAAUGAGUCAGCUCUGAGAGCACAGGUGAAGGCAAUUCAUCCUUUUAAGAGGUGACGAUCUGGGGGGAAGGAUCUCUUUCUGGAGGUCCCUCCUUUGGAGUUUUACAGUGAGCCCAGGAUAAGGAUCUUCUGAAUUAGUUUCCACUUGCCAUUUCUGUAGGAUGUCACCUUCUUUGUGCCCCAGGGGAAAAGAAAUAAGAAAAUGGAAAGUGGAGAAAAUGGAAAUUCUGUUGCUGUGAAUGUGGGUUCAGCCAUCACACAAAGAGCUGCAAGACCAGUCUCCAAUACCAAGAUCAUCAGCUAUCAGUAAAACAACAUUGGGGUUUGAAACACUGUAGGUAUUGACACUAUUUAUGGCACACUGGAAAAUCAUUAAAAAUAAAAGGAGUCCCAUCUUCUUCCUGGUGUACAAGAACAAGAGAAAAUGUGAUACUUCCGUCUUUUCUGGAUUCUGGCAACCUUUUUUCAAACACAGAUGAGGUAUGAGUCCCACCUGCACACUUGCUUACACUGGGACAAAAAGGAAAAUGGAGGACAAUGAGGUAGAAAUUUUGAAAGCAAAAGAGUAGGAAAAAGAACCAGGAACAAAAAUUUCCAGAGAGAAUGUGGACAGAAGAUCAAGAAAGAAAAGGUUGUAAAUCAGUGAGUUAUGAUAAAUAAAAGCAACUGGAAAGAAUGUAAGCCAGAACUGCGAAAGAGAGCUUGUACAAAGGGACUAAACAUCAAGGGAGAACAAUUCAUAAAUCACUGAGGUGUGGUGGGCAAAAGCAUCCAUAAGCAUGCAGUAGUCACAACUGGUAGAACUUGUUCUGACUUGAAUAAAAAUCAAGGAAGGAAAUUAGAGACCCAGAUGAAAUAAGAGUUGUGGGUUGAAAUGGGGAGAAAUAGUAGAGAGUUUAAGAAACAGGAAGAGACAGUAUGAUGGUGGACAGACAGAUAAAUUGAGGAAAAAAGGUGAGAGAACUGGGACUAUGUGGGAUAAAAGAGCUGAGGAGCUAUGACUGGGGAAGGUGAAGGGAAAUGGAAAGAAGAGCCUCCACAGAUAAGACUUGAUUGGUUACAAAUGGUGUUUCCCAGGGGUCAGAACUGGGGCCUGUCCUGUUUAGUAUUUUUACUGACAACCUGGACAAGGGAAUCGAAUCCACCCUCAGUAACUUUGCAGAUGACAAUAAGGUGGGAGGAUGUGUUGAUCUGCUUGGAGGUAGAAUGGCCCUACAGGGGGCCUGGAGGGGUCUGGACAGGCUGGGUAGCUGGGCUAAAGCCAGUGGGAUGAAGUUCAAUAAGACCAACUGCCAAAUACUGCAUUUUGGCUACAACAAUCCCAGGCAGCACUACC